rnacentral:tRNA from 1 species
GAGGGUAGAGCUCAGUGGUAGAGCAUGUGCUCAGCAUGCACGAGGUCCUGGGUUCAAUCCCCAGUGCCUCCA